GGGUCGUUAGCUCAGUUGGUAGAGCAGCGGACUUUUAAUCCGUUGGUCGCAGGUUCGAGUCCCGCACGGCCUA
rfam:Reticulomyxa filosa solexa3609441_1.exp, whole genome shotgun sequence.